rnacentral:tRNA from 1 species
AAAAAGAUAAGCUAAUUAAGCUAUUAGGUUCAUACCCCAAAUAUAAGGGUUAUAAUCCCUUUCUUUUUA